rnacentral:rRNA from 1 species
AUUGAACGCUGGCGGCAGGCCUAACACAUGCAAGUCGAACGGCAGCACAGAAGAGCUUGCUCUUUGGGUGGCGAGUGGCGGACGGGUGAGUAAUGUCUGGGAAACUGCCCGAUGGAGGGGGAUAACUACUGGAAACGGUAGCUAAUACCGCAUAACGUCGCAAGACCAAAGUGGGGGACCUUCGGGCCUCACACCAUCGGAUGUGCCCAGAUGGGAUUAGCUAGUAGGUGGGGUAAUGGCUCACCUAGGCGACGAUCCCUAGCUGGUCUGAGAGGAUGACCAGCCACACUGGAACUGAGACACGGUCCAGACUCCGACGGGAGGCAGCAGUGGGGAAUAUUGCACAAUGGGCGCAAGCCUGAUGCAGCCAUGCCGCGUGUAUGGAGAAGGCCUUCGGGUUGUAAAGUACUUUCAGCGGGGAGGAAGGCGGUGAGGUUAAUAACCUUGCCGAUUGACGUUACCCGCAGAAGAAGCACCGGCUAACUCCGUGCCAGCCGCCGCCGUAA